UGACCCUUAUUAAGCCGAGGGUCACCUAGCCAACUGACGUUGUUAGUGAAUACACAUUGUUCACAAGUAUAUACCGCCAAUCACCUUUCUUGUGAUUGGCGUUUUUUCU
rnacentral:sRNA from 26 species